rnacentral:pre_miRNA from 1 species
AGCCUUCUUUAUUUGUGCAGAAACUUCGUCUGCAAUCAACCCAAUGGGGUUGAUGCAACUUCUCAAAUAAGUGAGGUG